GACAGCCCAAUACGGAAAAAAUUCGAAGCCAAUGUUGACAGAAAAAAAAAAAAAAGCCACCUUUCCUGAACAAGGUUUCAUUUUACCACCACCAAGGUCAACGUGUAUUUUAGUUCAACGUACAACUAGCUGAACAGGACAACCAUCUGGCACAAACACAGUCUUUGACACCAUCUCUGACAAUCCCUUUCAAAUUUUAGAACUGCGAGUACUUCAUGUAUGAUCUCUAACAUACUGACUCAGCAUUUCCGGAGAUGGAAGCAUUACAAGUGUCCUAGGUAAUGAACCUGGUUCGAAACACACAGCCUUACUGCACUUCAGAAUUCCCCAACCUGCAAAAAUCCCACAGGAGGUGAGCCGGACACUCUUCUCUCUCACUCUCGCUCCUGGAUGCUCCUGGUCCGGAAGCACAGCUUACAGGCAGCGUUUAUGAGCAUGGACUUUGGAGUCCUCCAUCUGUCACCUACUCUGUGAUCUGGAGCAAGCUACUGCACCAUUUUAGACUCCAGUGUCCCUCUGGUAAGAGAGCUAGUAGUGCCUUUCCUCCUAAAACUGGCUGCGAGGAGAAAAUGCGACGGUUCCCAUCAAGUACUGAACAAGUAAAAGCUCAAUAAAAAUGAGCCACAUCCUACAUCCAUAUCUCUGACACCAAGCAACCACUUCUUUUACAUUUUGAAAGUCUCUAAAAGCAAGAGAAGCGUGGUGGAGGAACAUGAAGCUGAAGGCUGACAUCAAUCAACACUUGUAGGCUUUUUAAACAAUCGAGGUGAAUCAAGAAUUCAAAAUCAAGAAGAAUCAAAAGGUCUGUACAAAAGGGCCAACCACCAAACAGUAAGCAAUGACAAGAGAUUAAAUGCAAAACACCAAGUUGCUAAGUUAUAGGGAAGCUGCUGUUCAUCUGGACCUUUGCCCAGAACACAAAAAUUUGGAGGAGAAAUGUUGGCGGUUUAAACCGACAAGGGUUCUAAAUUUGCUGCCUCAUUGCUUUAUCUGGACAGCUAAAUCUUGAUCUUGCAGAAGCUUCCUUUGAUACUGUUUCUACCAAAAUGGCCAUAACCGCACUGGAAAAUCCAACAGGGUGCCAAAUCUCUUAUGCGGAAAUCCAGUGCUCAAAACACACCUAGAGAAAAGGGGCACCUGCCUGGCUCAGUUAGUGAAGCAUCCAACUCUUGAUCUCGGGGUCAUGAGUUUGAGCCCCACCUUGGGAUUACUUAAACAAAACACCUAGAGAAUGUUUACAGCGAAGAUCAGAAAUCCUCCGCUUUAGAUCAACCCAAGAUUCUGGCAAUGGAGGCAACGGAGUAUUUUUUUAAAAACGCUCAAAAUCCUUUAAGGUAACUAAAUGCAGAGCAAAAUUAUUUGUAUGUUCCCCGGGUUAUGGCCGCCUUCCUUUGAUAAAAAGGUUUCUUUCUUUUCUUCCUCCCCCCCAAAAGA